AAAGAAGUAAUAGCGAAAUCGUGGCCUUAUGAACAAAAACUUGAUAUCAAGGCCCAUUAGGUGGAUGAGAUUCCAAUUCAAACUAAAGUCCAAAAGACAAACGUAAGCCUAAUCGGUAAAUCAAGAGGGUAAACGAGGAAAGAG
rnacentral:ncRNA from 1 species